rnacentral:rRNA from 1 species
AUGGUGCUCCUUGUCGCGCUCCCGUUCAGGGCACGCGUAUCUAUCUCGCAGGCACCAGAAGGUGGCCAGAAGGAGGCAAGCGGCAGCCUCACCGCUGACACACUCGCCGCUGAUGCCGGCGGCGACGACCAGAUCCUGGCCGUCCCCUCCCUUCCCGUAAGAUCCGUCAAGGAAUUGAACCAUGUCACUCGGAAAUUAGAGAGCAGGCAACUAUAG